CGAUAUAAAACACCUUGUUCCAUUAGAAA
rnacentral:sRNA from 1 species